rnacentral:rRNA from 1 species
UGGGGAAUAUUGCACAAUGGGCGCAAGCCUGAUGCAGCCAUGCCGCGUGUAUGAAGAAGGCCUUCGGGUUGUAAAGUACUUUCAGCGGGGAGGAAGGGAGUAAAGUUAAUACCUUUGCUCAUUGACGUUACCCGCAGAAGAAGCACCGGCUAACUCCGUGCCAGCAGCCGCGGUAAUACGGAGGGUGCAAGCGUUAAUCGGAAUUACUGGGCGUAAAGCGCACGCAGGCGGUUUGUUAAGUCAGAUGUGAAAUCCCCGGGCUCAACCUGGGAACUGCAUCUGAUACUGGCAAGCUUGAGUCUCGUAGAGGGGGGUAGAAUUCCAGGUGUAGCGGCGAAAUGCGUAGAGAUCUGGAGGAAUACCGGUGGCGAAGGCGGCCCCCUGGACGAAGACUGACGCUCAGGUGCGAAAGCGUGGGGAGCAAACA